GGUGAGAUGGCCGAGUUGGUCUAUGGCGCCAGGUUAAGGUCCUGGUACGGGAAACCGUGCGUGGGUUCGAAUCCCACUCUCAUCA
rnacentral:tRNA from 1 species